UGCGUGGGCGGAAUAUUAAGUCAGUGGUGAAAUCCUGCAGCUUAACUGUAGAACUGCCAUUGAUACUGGUCUUCUUGAAUAUAGUUGAGGUGGGCGGAAUGUGUAAUGUAGCGGUGAAAUGCUUAGAUAUUACACAGAACACCGAUUGCGAAGGCAGCUCACUAAACUAUCAUUGACGCUGAGGCACGAAAGCGUGGGGAGCGAACAGGAUUAGAUACCCUGGUAGUCC
rnacentral:rRNA from 1 species